rnacentral:rRNA from 1 species
UACAGAGGGGGCAAGCGUUGUUCGGAAUUACUGGGCGUAAAGGGCGCGUAGGCGGCCGCCUAAGUCAGACGUGAAAUCCCUCGGCUCAACCGGGGAACUGCGUCUGAUACUGGGUGGCUUGAAUCCGGGAGAGGGAUGCGGAAUUCCAGGUGUAGCGGUGAAAUGCGUAGAUAUCUGGAGGAACACCGGUGGCGAAGGCGGCAUCCUGGACCGGCAUUGACGCUGAGGCGCGAAAGCUAGGGGAGCAAACGGG